GACGAACGCUGGCGGCGUGCCUAAUACAUGCCAGUCGAACGCUGAGGCAGGAGCUUUGUUCUCUGGUUGAGUUGCGAACGGGUGAGUAACACGUAGGUAACCUGCCUGUUAGCGUGGGAUAACUAUUGGAAACGAUAGCUAAUACCGCAUAGUAGUUCAUGUUGCAUGACAUUUGCUUGAAAGGUUCAGUUGUUUCACUACCAGUUGGGCCUGCGUCGGAUUAGCUAGUUGGUGGGGUAACGGCUCGCUAAGGCGACGAUCCAUCCCCGACAGGAGAGGGGGAUCAGCCAGACUGGGACGGAGACACGGCACAGAGGGCUACGGGAGGCAGCAGGAGGGAAACGGGGGGCAGGGGCGGAAGACAGAGCGAGAAACGCCGCGGGAGGGAAGAAGGGUGUCGGAUGGGAAAGAUCGGUUGUAAGAGAAGAAAGAGGGUGAGAGUGGAAAGUGCACAGAGUGACGGUAACUGAUCAGAAAGGAACGGCUAACUACGUG
rnacentral:rRNA from 1 species